rnacentral:rRNA from 1 species
ACAUACCCGCACGAGGGCGUUUCAGAUGAGUCGGGUAGCUUGGGAAUGCUGCUCUAAUCGGUGGUAAAUCUCAUCGAAGGCUAAAUAGCGGCUGGAGACCGAUAGCGAACAAGUACCGUGAGGGAAAGAUGACAAGCACUUUGAAAAGAGGGUGAAAAGAGCCUGAAACCGUCACGGGGGAAGCGGAUUGCGUUGGAUUGAUGGGCGCUUGUGUGUUCAGCCUUCGGGUGCAUUGGCACAAGUGCUUAUCCGCUGUGAGUUUUCGGGGGUCGAUUUUGGACCCCUGGGGACUGAGGGCUCCCUUCUUUUAGGUGAGGACAGCGGAGUGACGACGCGAUACGACCCGUCUUGAAACACGGACCAAGGAGUCUAGCGCGGGUGCGAGUCGGAGGGUGCAAGCCCGUGGGCGAAGUGAAAGCGAGUUUUAAAAACGAGCAGUUUGGGGCGGCAUAAGAUCGUUGAUCUUAAGACCGACCCGGAGCAGUUGCGCUGGGACCCGAAAGAUGGUGAACUAUGCCGGAGUAGGGCAAAGCCAGAGGAAACUCUGGUGGAGGCUCGUAGCGGUGCUGACGUGCAAAUCGCUCGUCGAACUUGGGUAUAGGGGCGAAAGACUAAUCGAACCAUCUAGUAGCUGGUUCCCUCCGAAGUUUCUCUCAGGAUAGCGGGCCGACAAGUUGUUUUGUGCGGUAAAGCGAAUGAUUAGCGCAUUCGGGGGCGUUUAGCCUUUGGGCGAUUCUCAAACUUUC